UACGAAGGGGGCUAGCGUUGCUCGGAAUCACUGGGCGUAAAGGGUGCGUAGGCGGGUUUUUAAGUCAGCGGUGAAAUCCUGGAGCUCAACUCCAGAACUGCCUUUGAUACUGGGAAUCUUGAGUAUGGAAGAGGUGAGUGGAACUGCGAGUGUAGAGGUGAAAUUCGUAGAUAUUCGCAGGAACACCAGUGGCGAAGGCGGCUCACUGGCUCGAUACUGACGCUGAGGUGCGAAAGCGUGGGGAGCAAACAGG
rnacentral:rRNA from 1 species